GGAGGAAGGAGGGCGGGCGGGCGGGGCCGGGGCUGCUCACGCCCCUCACACAGGGAGAGCCCCCAGGCCGCGGACAGCGUGUGCCGCCCGCAGGGAACCCACGUGCUAAUUAGCAGCCCGGUUUUCCAGAGCAGACAGGGAUGCUCUCCCGGAAUUCCUGCCCGGAGGAGAGCACAGGACACGGGUGCCGGUGUUACACGGUGUUACGGAUCACAGGUGCUGCUCCAGUGGUCACAGCCCAACAGAAAAGUUCCUCUGCUGUGGAUGGCUUGGCCUUGCUCUGCAGAGGAAUGCCAUGGAGUCAGCUUCCUGAUUUUUCACACCUGAGCAGGAGAGGAUGGACAGUCCUGGAUCAGCCCCUCGGUGCCGACAGCGCUUCCUGAGGAGAUCAGAGCAAUGAACAACUGGGCACUGCUGGAGCAGCAGGGAAACCUCUCCUGGGGGAUGUGGAGAGUGGUUCAUUGUCAGCUGCCACCACUUCCCAGAUUCCCAAACUGCUCUGAGUUAUUUGGGAUGCAACUACAGAAGCCCUGAGAGAUCUCCAAGUCUUGGGCCCCUGAAGACUUGGAAAAAGACCUGAAGUUUCUGACUGACAUUGAACCAGACAGAUGGGAGAUGAUGCUGUGUAAGAGGAGGCCUUGCUCCACUUGACCUGCAAGAGCUGCUCCAGGAGGACAAUCCAGUUCCACCAGGAACACCAAGGGACACGGGAUGUCACAGCAGCAGCAGGACCCACUGCAGCCCCACUGGAUUUCGGCUUCCUGGUUGUCCUGGUGCUUGGAAAACCUCUCAGUCACCUCAUGUCACACCUGGCUCCUGGGAAAUGCUCUGGAUGGAUGGAUGCACUGCUGCAGUGGGGGUGGAAUCACAGGCAGGAAUAAAGGCAAAAGAAGGGAAAUCUUUCUCUGGGAAUCCCCACCCCUGGAAGUGUCCAAGGCCAGGCUGGAAGGGGCCUGGAGCAGCCUGGGCUAGUGGAAGGUGUCCCUGCCCAUGGCAGGGGGUGGGAUGAGAUGAUCUUUAAUGUCUCUUCCAACCCAAAGCAGUCUCUGAUCCUUCAGGGAAAGGCUGGGAAAACAAUCCAUGAUCGUAUUUCCCCUCCCAUUCCAGCUGCUGUCCCACCUCACCCCAGGCCUCGUGUUCUUAUUUUAAAGAAUUAAAGCCCCACUGAUCCGAACAAGGUCAAGUGUUCCUUUGCCAUCUCCCAAGCCACAGUCCCACCUCUGCCUCUGCUCCUGAAACGGCUCCAUUUGCAUAAAUUCGUCUGCAAACAAUUAAAGUUAAUUAAGAUAAUUUAUCACUUGAAAGUAAAGCGUUUUAUCAGCAGGUAUCAGCCUGUAAAGCAAACAAAGAACCAGUUGUAGGGGAAUAGCUGGGGCCUUAUUACCCUGUUAGACAUGAAGUGACAAAAACCCGCUGGUUAUGACGCUUUGUAGGGUCCCAGUGCUUUGUUUGCAAAGUAAUUAACUGCAAUUAGCUAAUCAUCCUCUGUAGGAGCUGCAUGUGUGACUCUGCACUAACACGGACUCAUUUACACCUUGGCUGCUGUCCCACACACAAACUGGGAGACACAAGUUUUGGGAGCAGCCCGAAGUUCUUGUCUGUGGGCACAAAUGGGAUAUUGGGAAGAGCUUUGAGGGACAGAAUGGAUCUGAUGGGUGUUCCUUGGGAAUCUCCUCUCCACUGCUUCCAGCAGGGUUUAUUGCAUCCUGAUAUCCAGUGUCUGCAGGAACUGUAAAAAUAAUGCACUUAGGGGAAAAAAUACCCAUUAUCAUUGCUCAAAGCCCAUCCAACCCGGCCUCGAGCAAUUCCAGGGGUGGGGCAUCUCCCAGUUUCACUGGGAUCAACUCCCCUCAUCAGCAAACACAAAACUUGUUUCAUCAAAUUCUGACCCCAGCAGUAACAGAGACCACAUUUAACUUGGAAUCUGUGGGAUGAGUUAAUCUGAGCACUCCCAGAGGCAUUGACCCUCAGGGUAAAAAACCAACUUCACGUGCCCCAAAACCACUUCAAAGCAACCAGGAAUGGUCAUUUUUUAAAAAAUUCAUUUAAAAAAUUCCUGGCAGAGCCAUAGGCUCUCCUGGCACGGGAGAUCAGUGACUUCUCAAUAGGACACACUGGAAUUCCAGCCCCUCCCGACCCACGGGAGGCCCCUGAGUGUGGAUUAUUGUCCUUGUACCUUUGUUUCCCCACCUGCUGAAUUGGGAUGGCCUCUUUUUAGUGGUGAUUUUCCCUUUGUUUUCCUUUCCCCAGGCCCUCCCUCUUGCUGGGAAUUCUGGGCACUGACAAAGAUUUUCACCCUGAAAAGGGAAGUGUGUUCCAAGAGUCCCCACAGAACAAACCCACCCUUUAUCUGUCGGACACCAGGAAAAUAUUUGGAGCUCUGUGAGCAACCUGGAUGUGCUGAACAUCCCAGGGGGGUCCUGAGUGUCAGGGGGUGCUGAGCACCCCCUGGGUGUCCUGCUGGGUGUCUCUGGGUGCUGAGCUGCAGCAGGGGCUCCAUAAAUGAGCUCUGCCUGGUAAUUAAACCCAGGUGUUUGCAGUUGUAAUUAAGGAGCCCAUAUAAGGAGGGUGGGGCCAGGCUGGUGCCGUGUCCCGGAGGAGUGGGAGAGCUCCUGUGGCGGGGGUUUGGUCCUCUCUGCUGGCCCUGGUGAGUGCUCCGUGCUUUUUGUACCUUUAUUUGUUGGUUUAUUUACCGUUUCUGAUCGAGUUUUCUCCUGCUGCUUCCCUGGCACUUCAGCUUUCCUCGUUAUGUGCCAGGGAAAAAGGACUGCUUGGAUUUACUGAGGGGGGAGGCUGAGCUGCCCCAGCACUCACCUCUUGCUGUUAUGGGUGUUUUCAGUGGCAGAUUCAGUGCAAUUUGGAUAUUACUGCUCCUUUUCCCUGGAAUUAAGGCAGGCACCUUGGAAUGUUAUCCUUGGUGCUUUCUUUGUUCCUGGAGGAUCUCCAAGAGCUGCUGAGCCGAGCCUGUGGCUCACACAGCCUGGGAC